AAAAAUAUAUUGUAGACUUUUAUUGGCACACUAAAUCCUUCUCCCCAGUCCACUUUUCUUUGUUAAUCUUCAUGGGGUCUGGUAUUGUUUC